UACGGAGGGUGCAAGCGUUACUCGGAAUUACUGGGCGUAAAGCGUGCGCAGGCGGUUUGUUAAGUCUGUUGUGAAAUCCCCGAGCUCAACUUGGGAAUUGCAAUGGAUACUGGCAGGCUGGAGUAUGGUAGAGGAAGGUGGAAUUCCCGGUGUAGCAGUGAAAUGCGUAGAGAUCGGGAGGAACACCAGUGGCGAAGGCGGCCUUCUGGACCAAUACUGACGCUGAGGCGCGAAAGCGUGGGGAGCAAACAGG
rnacentral:rRNA from 1 species